rnacentral:rRNA from 1 species
UACGGGGGGAGCAAGCGUUGUUCGGAUUUACUGGGCGUAAAGGGCGCGUAGGCGGUCAGCACAAGUCAGUUGUGAAAUCUCCGGGCGUUAACCCGGAAAGGUCAACUGAUACUGUGCGACUAGAGUGCGGAAGAGGCGAGUGGAAUUCCCGGUGUAGCGGUGAAAUGCGCAGAUAUCGGGAGGAACACCAAUUGCGAAGGCAGCUCGCUGGGACGUUACUGACGCUGAGACGCGAAAGCGUGGGGAGCAAACAGG